UUGAAUUUUAAUGAAGAGUUUGGUUGUAGCUGGCCCAUUCAUUUGGGCAUGUGCACACCUUCCUCUUUCAUCCCACACACACACCUGUGAACCUGUGAGACAGAGAUGGGGAAUUUACUUGCUGCUUUUUGGAAUACAAAGGCAAUAGGUUAUUGGACCCCCCCUCUGUCUACUCAAUUAAUAUAAACUCAAUUUAUUUUAAAACGAAUGUAAUGGAUGUAACACAUCUCAUAC
rnacentral:misc_RNA from 1 species